rnacentral:misc_RNA from 1 species
CGCAAAUUGCGCUCUUUGGUAUUCCGAAGAGCAUGCCUGUUUGAGUGUCAUAUAGCCCUCACCCUGACGGUUUCUUGACUGUCUGUUUGGUGGUUUGGACGUUCUGCCAGCUUCACGGCUGGCUUGUCUUAAAUGCAUUAGUGGGAGAAAACAUAAGCGUGAUAAGUCUUCGCUUUGAAAACGUUUGCCCUCACUCUAAAUAAAUCACAAUGACUCUGACCUCAAAUCAGGUAGGACUACCCGCUGAACUUAA